rnacentral:tRNA from 1 species
CCGCCCAUAACUCAGCUGGUAGAGUAGCUCCCUCUUAAGGAGAAUGUCCCAGGUUCGAUCCCUGGUGGGCGGACAA